rnacentral:rRNA from 1 species
CCCCUAGAUGUUCUGGGCCGCACGCGCGCUACACUGAACAGUUCAACAAGUCUUAACCUUGGCCGAUAGGUCUGGGUAAUCUUUGAACGCUGUUCGUGAUUGGGAUAGACCUUUGCAAUUAUGGGUCUUCAACGAGGAAUUCCUAGUAAACGCAAGUCAUCAGCUUGCAUUGAUUACGUCCCUGCCCUUUGUACACACCGCCCGUCGCACCUACCGAUUGAAUGGUCCGGUGAAAUCUCGGGACGGCGGCUUGGUCGCUUGCGUCCGACUGCUGAAACUUGAUUAAACCAUAUCAUUUAGAGGAAGGUGAANUCAUANCA